UGUUUUCUUACAAACAUAACUCAACUUUUCUAAUUAAUUUCCUUUCUACGACAUUCUUUACUUCCUCUUCAUUUUCUUCUUUUUAUUAAGAUCUAUCACCAUCUUCAAUUUUCUACAUCAUCUCUUAUGUAGCAGUUGAAGCUGAAAAUUUCGUAUUAUUUUCCACAUCUCUACCGCACGAAAGCUGUUUGUGCCGCUGCCGUUGAAGAUGCAUGUGCCGCUGCCGUUGAAGCUUUGUGUGGCUGUCGUCCUUUUCUAAUCAUCAUUGUCCUGUCAUCACUGUUCUAUUUCCGCCAGCGUUCUGCCACUGUUUCGACAACAUUCCGCCACUGUUUCGACAACAUUCCGCCACCCUUCCGCCAUCGUUCACUCCAAAAGGAUUGUGUCGAUCUGUCGCCAUAAUUGAUUGAUUGAGAGUGAUUGUUUGCAGUUUAUCUCGGUAAAAAUUCCAAUUUUCCUUGCUUAUUUGAGUUAGAAAGGGGUGAUUAAGGAGAUUAACUCUAUGGCAGGGGAAUUUCAGAAUGGCAAUGGCUCUAUAUUUCCAGGAAUGCAAAAUCAAUUAGUUGAUAUUUUAGAUCUGGAGUACAUUGCUCUACUUGUUUAGUUUAAUUCACCCGGGUUAGAAGAAUCAUGGGUUCUGAGGUUUCUCCAUCAACUUCAGGUGAUGUCAAUUAACAGUGGAACCUAAGCGGAGGAGGUUAGUGGUUGCUCAAGUUUUUGAGUGUUUAUCUCAGCAUUUUGAUUUUGUUUAAAUUGUUUGCAUUUUCUUGCGCUAGUAUGUAUAUUUUGUUGAUUAGAAUUUGAUUGAUUGAUCUAUAAAUAUCAAUUAUGUCACCAUUUAAUGCAAAAAUGUUUUUGUGUUUCAAUGUUGUAUUGGAUAGCAAUUUUAAGAUUGAGCAGACAUAUAUAAGUUGCAGCUGUUAUAUGUUUUAUUGGCUAAAUCCUUAAUAAUGAUGAGAAUAAUAGCAGUGGUACGAGCAGUAGUAACUGUAACGAGUUGAAGAAAAUCUGCGUAUAUUGUCAAGCCGCAAGAACGCCUUGCUGGAGAAGCAGUCCAGCUGGUCUUUAAACUCUGUAUAAUGCUUGUGGGAUCAGAUACAGGAUAAAAUGUAGAAGUGGUGUUGGAUUAGAGAAAAUGAGAUCAGAGAAUAAAAAGAAAAUUGGUUAAGAACAUAGCAACUAAUAACAAUUUAUUGGUACAAAAUAUGUGGAAGAGGAAGCCGGGGGAGGAAGAACAAGCUGCCUUUCUUUUAAUGGCUUCAUCUUAUGGCUGUGUAUCUGCUUAACUGAAACCUGUAAAUCAAAUUUUGAUUCAACAUGAAAAAUGAGUCUUAAGAAAAUCAGAGUAGCGGAUUAAUUUUUUUA